ACCCUAAUGGCUGCAGAGAAGGGAUUAAACUUAGACUCCAUUAACUGCCUGUAGUUAGAAGCAUUCUGUUUCUCUGGAUGUAUUAUGCUGUGAGAGCUGGGCCACUGGGGGUCGAGAGUGGAUUGCCCCUGGUGGACAAUGAGGUUGAGCAGAAACAAUACUGAGUCUUGGAAAUACACUAUUUUGAUGAAUGCCAUCUACUGUAAAUGAGACAUCUGUAUUUGCUUUCUCUGUUGUCAGCAUCUCAACACUCAGUGUGAACUCUGCCAUGGCAAACUGUUGGAAUAAGUUAUUUCUAGUCUGCAAUGAGUACUUCUGUCACAUUGUUAUU